rnacentral:rRNA from 1 species
UGGGGAAUUUUGGACAAUGGGCACAAGCCUGAUCCAGCCAUUCCGCGUGCAGGACGAAGGCCUUCGGGUUGUAAACUACUUUUGUACGGAACGAAAAGGCUCUGGCUAAUACCUGGGGCUCAUGACGGUACCGUAAGAAUAAGCACCGGCUAACUACGUGCCAGCAGCCGCGGUAAUACGUAGGGUGCAAGCGUUAAUCGGAAUUACUGGGCGUAAAGCGUGCGCAGGCGGUUAUGUAAGACAGAGGUGAAAUCCCCGGGCUCAACCUGGGAACUGCCUUUGUGACUGCAUAGCUGGAGUACGGCAGAGGGGGAUGGAAUUCCGCGUGUAGCAGUGAAAUGCGUAGAUAUGCGGAGGAACACCGAUGGCGAAGGCAAUCCCCUGGGCCUGUACUGACUCUCAUGCACGAAAGCGUGGGGAGCAAACAG